rnacentral:snRNA from 1 species
UAUCUCUGGUUUCCCUUCAAAACGUAUAAAUCUUUCGCCUUUUACUAAAGAUUUCCGUGGAGGGGAACACUCAAAUGAGUCUUAUAUAUUUUUGAAAGUCUUGCAUAUUGCAAGACU